rnacentral:lncRNA from 1 species
CCAAUAUACAAAAUGGAAGACGUGGUAUGAUUGCCAAUGAGACAACUGUUCGAGUUAUCCACCAUACGGCCUUGAACAAUGAGUUAAAUCCAUACCGCAUAGUUAGGUAUAAAAAGCCCCGAAAUGGCAAAUGUAAAACAAUUCAAACGAAAAAAAUCCUGAUAUAUGUACAAAACGAUGAACGAAAAACACAAUUAUAUAUAGCAAAACACAACAUCCACUGAAUUACAGACACCUGAUUUGGGACACGCACAUGUAGAAUGGCAAGGUUAAACUAGUUUUCCUCUUACUAAUCUUGGACAUGUGGUCAGCAAACUGUAAAAAUCAGUCGGGGCUUAUCCUUAUAAACUAAGGUUACAUCAAACAGUCUAAAUUAGAAUAAAUGCUGAAAGUUUGAUUUCAGUAUAUACACAAUGGUGC